UGCCUACAGUAGAAGGACUAAUCAGUUAUUUCUUUUAUCGCCCCAAACAUGCCAAGAUUAGCAUUGAUGGUACGUAAAUGCAACUCGUUGGUCAAACAACUAUUCAGAGUUCCUAGAGCUCCUUGUAAGGCUUGUUGGAAAACCCGUUGUCGGACUUGAUUAAUCGUUCGUUGUUGUUCAAAAUGAAUGGUUUCAUUUUUGUAAUUUUCUAAUUGUUCCAAAGUCUUAUAAGUUGAAUUAAUCAAAUUCCAUUUUUCUCGUUCUAUCUCAGAAUAUCCAUUCGUUCGAAACUGAUCUGCUUCUAUUUCCACUUUCCGUAAGCGGGCCCGGGCUUUUUCCAGCUGUUCAAUAGCCCCCUCGCGUAGUUUUUCUGAAUUUCGAAUAGUAUCCAAAAUCCUUUGUUUUCGAUUAUCUAAUAAAUCACUUAACACUCCCUUUCCAAAAAAAAUCAAUACACCAAGGACUACACUUAGAUUUAUUAGAUUUGUUGCUAAAAUAUCGGUAUUAAACCCGAAACUCCCGGCGGAUGGCCAGUGACCCAAGGAAACGAAAGAAUCGGUUACAUUUUUCAUAUGAUCUCCUCUUUUCUUAUAGACUAUAGACAGACUAAUUA
rnacentral:misc_RNA from 1 species